AACAGGAUUAGAUACCCUGGUAGUCCACGCCGUAAACGAUGUCGACUUGGAGGUUGUUCCCUUGAGGAGUGGCUUCCGGAGCUAACGCGUUAAGUCGACCGCCUGGGGAGUACGGCCGCAAGGUUAAAACUCAAAUGAAUUGACGGGGGCCCGCACAAGCGGUGGAGCAUGUGGUUUAAUUCGAUGCAACGCGAAGAACCUUACCUACUCUUGACAUCCACGGAAUUUGGCAGAGAUGCCUUAGUGCCUUCGGGAACCGUGAGACAGGUGCUGCAUGGCUGUCGUCAGCUCGUGUUGUGAAAUGUUGGGUUAAGUCCCGCAACGAGCGCAACCCUUAUCCUUUGUUGCCAGCGAUUCGGUCGGGAACUCAAAGGAGACUGCCGGUGAUAAACCGGAGGAAGGUGGGGGUGACGUCAAGUCAUCAUGGCCCUUACGAGUAGGGCUACACACGUGCUACAAUGGCGCAUACAAAGAGAAGCGACCUCGCGAGAGCAAGCGGACCUCACAAAGUGCGUCGUAGUCCGGAUCGGAGUCUGCAACUCGACUCCGUGAAGUCGGAAUCGCUAGUAAUCGUGGAUCAGAAUGCCACGGUGAAUACGUUCCCGGGCCUUGUACACACCGCCCGUCACACCAUGGGAGUGGGUUGCAAAAGAAGUAGGUAGCUUAACCUUCGGGAGGGCGCUUACCACUUUGUGAUUCAUGACUGGGGUGAAGUCGUAACAAGGUAACC
rnacentral:rRNA from 1 species